AUAAAAAUGAACGGGGACACUCACUAAUCGAAUUUGAUGCGAGUAUCAGUAGUUGACGGUUUUAUUACUUCCGUCAAGAAUUAUUUAUGAUGGGUCUUUCUUUCUAUACCAAUUGGACAUUUUUAUUGUUCAGCGUCCUUUUUCGAGCAAAAUUUACUAACUCGUACGAAUCAAGUUCAGAAUUUAGGUACAUCGGGUCACAUCAGGCUUCCUCGUAUUACGUCAGCAAUGUCACCAGCACUUGGAACAACGCAUACACAGGAUGACUCCGGUUCGACUAUGGAAACUUAAUAUCCGUCGAAACAUUUGAAGAAGACCUCGAAGUUCGCCUUCUCAUGAUAGAAAAUAGCAUUCGUAUUUUUUUAAUAAUUUACUUUCUUAACUCUAAAAAUGAUUGCUCUAUGUAAAUAAGCAUAAUUAAACAAAUAUGGUAAAAAAAUUUAGAAGACGUAUGGACAGCGGGUGGGUAUGAUCCGAAUACGCAGAAAUAUUACUGGGUUUCGACCAGUGAAGAGGUUCAAGUAGACGAAUGGGCCCCUUGGAGGGUUGGACAUCCCCUCCGGCAAGAAGGGUACUGCAUAGCCAUUCACAACACGAUUUUUGGUAACUCCGCCUGGUACACGGAAAUGAAAACGGAGACAUUUUACUACAUUUGCGAAAAGAAUUGAAUUUUUUUAAAUUUUCGAUCCCACCAAGUGGUACACAUUACGCAGGGCUAAUUAUUCUAGAUAUAUACUUCAUUUGUGAAAAAGAAUAAAUAAAAAUAGAAAUUUUAAA